rnacentral:lncRNA from 1 species
GAAAAGAGCAGCAUAAGAAGUAAUUAUAUUGUUUUCUAUUAUCUUUGCAGAAAUCUUGAUUUUAAAUGAAACUGGUUUUCCAGAGCCUCUCAACCAUCAUGUUCUCCUAACCAGGGUGCUGGGGCACAGAAACAGCGACAGUCAGUGCCUAUGGUUUCAUUUGCUCUUGGCCUGGACAGCCAGACAACAUCCCUGCUGGACCAGGACAGUCAGAUGUACCUAGACAAUCUGCACUUAUCAGUUUGAGUCUCAUGAACUCUGUCAUCUUCCAAAUCCAUGUGGUGAGCAAUCCAUACAACAGCAGCUCAUGGAAAGUGUGGCAUAUAACAGUUACUGGUUAUUCAUGGCUGGAACAGAGCUUACCUAGAAGCUCAGUUGAAAAAUCAUCCAAACAGAAGUAGGAAAGAAAACUUUGCUUGGGUAAAAUUAAUAAAACAAAUUAACUCAGAGCUGUGCA